AAGUGACUUAAUCAACUUGAUGCAGCUGGUGAGAGGGAGCCGGGGCCGCGAGCCUUGACUUCCAGCCCAAGCUCUUUCUCUCUUUUCUCUAAGGCGGGAACCUAGGGCACUGGCUCUACACAUGUGGCGGUCUUGCCUAAGUCACUUUUGGAAGCAUCUGUUCCGGACUGGUCUUUCUGGCCCCCAGACCUUGACUUUCUGGAUCUUUGGGACCGUGCCCGGCAGGAUGGACUUUAUGUGUCUGGGGCAGUGGGAGGGCAGAAACCCAGAGUCAGCAGUAAUUGCUUUUUUAAGUAACCUGGAUGAAAAUCCUGAAAGGACCAGCUUUUGAUCCUGCAGAACAGGCCUGGGUUCUGCAAACAGCCUGACCCCUAGGGGCUCCUAGGUCUCCACUAGGACUUCUGCCCAGCAGUUCCAGACCAUCAUCUACAGCUGACCAGCUCUCUUGUUUCUGAAAGCCCAGGGCUGCCUCUGGGGGAGCAGGCUUUAGGCAUUUCUUUUUUCUUUCUUUUUUUUUAGGUCCGCACCUGCAGCAUAUGGAAGGCCUACCACAGCCACAGCAACUCCAGAUCUGAGCCUUGUCUGUGACCUACGUUGCAACUCGAAGCAAUGCUGGAUCCUUAACCCACUGAGCAGGGCCAAGGAUCGAACCCAACCUCAGAGCCUGGCUGUCAGUUUGACCUGUUGGAUGGAGGAAUGCCUGACCGAAUGCGGAAUGAACUUGUGCUCACGAAGGUUAAAUGAGAUACCAUGAAAUCUCUGGGAACAGAAUCUAUUCCUCGGGGAAGGAACGUGAGGGUGGGCAGCAGCUCGGGCUGGGGCAGACCCUGGGGUGGGCAGAGGUCUGGGAUGGAGCACUGGGGCCCAGGGGGAGAGCCCCAGGUGAUGCUGUGGCAAAGCCUUCCGUGGCCUCCAGAAGCAGGUGGUACCACCUCCAUGGGCAGCUCAUUCCUGAGCUCUGGGUGCAGCCUCUGCCCCUGGCUCUGUGUGGGCCUCCCAGUUGUCCUCCAAGGUGCAUGGUGUAUGUCACACCCUCCUCCUGGCACCUCAGAGCCUCUGAGGCCAGCUGCCCGCCUGGUCUGAGCAGCGUGUCAUAGUCUGCAGAGAAAAGGCCAUCUAUUUUCUCGCAGCGUGAACUCUCACAUUUACAGCGAUGCCAAGCCGAAUAUAAGACUCAUACAACGCCACUCCGAGCCCUGCCCCCCAUGAAGGGGGGCGGGGGGGGGGGGAAAGCCCUGCCCCGUCCAGGAAACAAAGUCCCCUCUGUUGGCAGCAUGAGUUUCCGUUCAAGUCCCCAGGCCCCCUGGGUGGCCAUGGAAUAAUCUGGGCCAACGAGUGGGGUUUAUUGGACCCUCUGGGCAGCCCCCCAAGGCUGUCUUUGUUUCCCACCAUGGGAGAGGGGCCAACCCCACCUGGCUGGGGCGCCCAUCGAGAUGCUAUGGGAUCCCAGGGGCCUGACCGCAUCCCCUGUGCCUGAGGGUCAGUGCUUCUGGGAGUUCUGGUCAAGGGCACAUCACGUCUUGAAGCUUAGUGUGUGCCCAGGGUCCACAUCCUUCUGAACAGUUUUUUUUUUUUGGUCUUUUCUAGGGCGGCACUCACCAGCACAUGGAGGUUCCCAGGCUAGGGGUCAAAUCAGAGCUGUAGCCACCAACCUACACUACAGCCACAGCAACACGGGAUCCUUAACCUGCUGAGGCCAGGGACUGAACCCACAACCUCAUGGUUCCUAGUUGGAUUUGUUAACUACUGAGCCACAAUGGGAACUCAGCUUCUGAACAGUUUUUCUUUUCCCGUCCCUGCUCAGGAAACAGAAAAGGUUGAAAUUGCCAUCUUCUGGCUUAAGGAGUCCUGCUGUGACUCCAUCUCUGACCAGAGUCCUUUUUCCCCCCGCUUCCUGGGUGGGGUUUGAACUCACAGCAUGGGGGCAGUUUGGAUGAGCUGCUGGAGAAGACCAUUCUGCCACCUCCACCCCUAGGUAGCUGGGGAGUCAGGCCCUGGGACUGAGAGAGACUCGGUCUCAGGCACAGAUCUGGAGGCAGGUUAGCCUCUGAGCUGCUGGGCCUCUCUGUCCGGGCCUCCCUGCCUCCCCACGGGGGCCACAGAUACUCACUGUGCCUACUUUUUCUUCAUCAAUCCAGCCUAUUCUCAGUCAAUUACUUCAUGGCCCANUUUUUUUUGCUCUUUAGGUCUGCACCAGAAGCAUAUAGAAGUAGUUUUCAGGCUUGGGGUUGAAUUGGAGCUGCAGCUGCUGGCCUAUAUCACAGCCACAGCAAGGCCCGAGCCGAGCCACGUCUGUGACCUACACCACAACUCACAGCAACAUGGGAUCCUUAACCCACUGAGCGAGGCUAGGGAUUGAACCCUCAUCCUCAGGGAUACUGGUCGGGUUUGUAACGGCUGAGCCACAACAGGAAGUCCCGGUGACAGCUCAUUUCCGAAGAAACCCUUGCACUGGAGUUGGGGACGUGUGUGAGAUCCAAUACCUUGAUGCUAGAAGGCUCUGAGGCCCCCAGUGCAUUGACAAGGCUGACCCCUCGGAGUCCCUGAACCUCUGGCCUUGCUUCCUGCUCAUUCUGGCUUCCUUUGGAAACUUCCCUCAGCAGGGUCCUCAGAUCAGAUUUUCCUGCCUUUAAAUUUUCAAAUUAAGAGGCUUCUCACAGGGCCUCCGUGUCACCCGGGCUUUGUUUUGAUAGGAGCCCAGGUUCUAGAAUAGCUGCUUGCAAGUGGGCGCGGACCCUACAGUGGCUGAGCAGGGCUGCCUGGGCACAAGGGCCAAGGGCUGGCAAGAUGAGUCCAAGGGAACCAUGGGCAGGGCAUUUCUAUGGCAACUCAGACCAGCCCUCCUGUGGCCAGACCAUCAUUAAAUUAACCUGGGAGAGUUCCCGUUGUGGAUCAGCGGAAACAGGUUUGAUCCCAGGCCUCACUCAGUGGGUUAAGGAUCUGGCAUUGCCGUGAGCUGUGGUGUAGGUCACAGAUGCGGCUUGGAUCCUAUGUGGCUGUGGCUGUGGCUCUGGUGUAGGCCGGCAUCACAGCUCCGAUUCGACCACUAGCCUGGGAACCUCCAUACGCUGCAGGUGCGGCCCUAAAAAGACAACAAAAUAAAAAUAAAAAAUUACCCUGGGGACCUUCUCCUGGCAGCGAUGUCUGUAGGUUCAGACAAGAUGUUUUAACUUUCAGACGGUUGAUUGGCAUGAAAUCAUUAUCAAGUGGGACCAUUAGCAGAAGCGAGGCACAGGCAAAACUAGUAACUCCAGGAAACACUCGAUUUUCCGUCGGCUGUCCAUCCUUCCUCGGCUCUUCUGGUUUUUGCUGCAACGUGGACAUCCUGAAGCAUGUUCUGCCUCUUUUAGGACUGCAAAAAAAAAAAAAAAAAAAAAAAGGAGAAAAAAAAUGAAAUAAGAAGGUGAUGGGCAUCUCCAGUCAAGGCCUAUAAAACCCCUCCGUUCUCCGGAGUCCACGGGAAAAGUGUCACAACCUGUAGGCUUGUUCCUGUCCCCAUCCCAGAGACAGUCGCUUGUUGGUUUUAACUGGAAAAAUAAACAUUUGAAAAACAGGCAAAAAAA
rnacentral:lncRNA from 1 species